rnacentral:tRNA from 1 species
GAGGGUAUAGCUCAAGUGAUAGAGCUCUUGCUUAGCAUGCACGAGGUCCUGGGUUCAACCCCCAGUACCUCG